GCUGAUAUAGCUCAGCCCGGUAGAGCGCAUCCUUGGUAAGGAUGAGGUCCCCAGUUCGAGUCUGGGUAUCAGCACCA
rnacentral:tRNA from 3 species